CAAAUUUUAGUUUAGUUAAAAUUAUUCAUUUACAUUGAAUUGACAUAAAUUAUUUUAUAAAUUUGA
rnacentral:tRNA from 1 species